rnacentral:lncRNA from 1 species
GUUAGCUCAGAAUCUCUGCAAUCACUUUACAUGUAGUUUCCACAUAAAGAUCUUAUCUUUUCUCAAUUUUGCAUGAGGACAGGAAAUCCUAGCCCCACCCAUAACUCAAAGGAGAUCAGAGUGUCAUGGCAACACCUCCCACUCUGUGGCAGACAAGAGUUAAAGGAGAAAAUGCAAAAGAGAAAACUCUGCUUCAGAAACAUUACAAAUUCGAACUAUGGGGAGUGUUGGGAAAACAUAUAACGGCAGCAGCACCCCAGAGAAAAACCCCAACAUGGUGCCUAACGAUCCUCAUUCUCCUCUUUUUUACUUUCACUGGUGCGAAACGUUCCCACCGGCACCAAUGUUCAAAUCCUGCUGGUGGGAAGCCUUAGCCCCAAUAAGAAUUAACUUCUUGGGCUCUGGAACUGACAUAUGGAAGAGCUUGCCAAUAAACGGGCAACCCGUUAUCUACCUCAGCCCUGCUACCUCUCCUUAGACCUAUAUAAACACACAGCCUUUUGUAAUAAAGCAGAACCUCUUCAGUGAUCUGUGUCGUGUGGUGUCUCCCAUUCAUAGUGCGGUGUGGCGUCUUCCAGUCUUAUGGUGGUGCCAAAAACCCGGGAGACGGUGUACUCGACAAACCAAGCCCCGUCUCCGCCAUCGCCAUCACCAACGACACAUUUCGCCCUGUCUGUCUUUUGGGGCGCUGGCUCCCUGCACUCACCACUGAUCGGGUUUAGGUAAGUUCCCCCUCCCCAGCUCACCAACUCCCUUUGGGCUGCCAGCAGGGGACGCGACCGUGAUCGUCCAGCACGCUCCUGACACCCAAUAGGGAGGAGGGAAUGCACCCCACUAAGACCUUCACCGGUCGCAGUGGACCCUCUGGCGACCCGCUUCCCUUUGGGGUGUGAGGCUUCUGGGUUUACACGAGAGAGGCUCCCUGGUCUCUUCCUCCUCCGCGGAAGCUGCGUCCCACGGGAGCUGCAUCCUGCGGGAGCUGCGUCCCGCUGGAGCCGCACCUCGCUGGAGCUGUGUUCAGCCCGGAGCUGAACUUCCGGCUCAGAGCUGCAUUCUGCUGGGGCUCUGUUCCUUCCUUCCUUGACUCUCUCUCGUUCCGGUGGGAAAAUUUUCCUGACGUCAGGUUGCCCGUGGCCUUGACCUUAUAGGGUCACACAGACUGCAUUUUGUUGGUGAUGACUGAGCUGUGCCCUCUGUGCCUAUUCGCAGUGGACUGGUCACUUCGGGGACGCCCACGUGACCCUCCAUCAGCUCUACGCUUCCAGGAAGCCCCUACGGCCUGGGUUAAUUCUUUUUCUCCCUUUGCUGUCCCUUCCUCCACUCUUUAACCAUGGGUGCCUCCUCGUCUAUACCCGAAAACUCACCACUCAAGUGUCUCCUUAAGAAUUUGGCUACUCUCUCUCUUUCCCCAGAUCUCAAGCCCAAAAUUCUUAUCAGAUUCUGUACCCAAGAUUGGCCCGCAUAUCCGUUAGAUAAUGAGAAUCAUUGGCCUCCAGAAGGCUCGUUAGAUCCAAACCUUCUUCAGGAUCUUCUUAACUACUGCCUGCGCCUAAAAAAAUGGAGAGAAGUCCCAUACAUUGAAGGUUUUAGCCUUCUCGCCCAACACCCUGCCCUCUGCACUUCCUGCUCUCCCUCUCAGGUCCUCCUUGCUUGUAAACCCCUCCCUUCCCCUACUUCUUCCCCUGACUGUGCAGAUUCUUCCUCAUUUGACCCAGCAGAUGAACCUCCACCUUAUCCCCCAGCCCCAUCCGCCCCUCCUCUCCCGCUACACCCUCCGCUUCUUCCGCCUGAUUCCACCGAUCCUCAGCCUUCUGUUUCAUCCCCCUCCCCCCAGCUCUCUUCCGCCGGUUCCAUCUCCUCCUCUGCUGAGACAUCCCCUUCCCCUCCCUCUACUUCCUGUCCGCCGCCAACUGCCUCUUUCAGUCCUCCUGUCACCAGGUCUAAGGGACCCCCUCCUACUCCCGUGACAAUUGCACCGCUUCCUGAGGUAGCUGGUCCUGAGGGUGUUAUUAGAGUACAUGUGCCUUUCUCCAUGUUGGACAUUACUCAGUUAGAGAGGAAGUUAGGCUCAUUCAUCACUUAUCCCACAACUUACAUUCGGGAGUUCCAGUGGGUCCUGCAGGCAUACAGCCUUACCCAUCACGACAUCUACAUGCUCCUGGCCAAUACACUUCUCCCUGAGGAAAGGCAACGGGUCUGGGAGCUAGCCCAAGCCCAUGCUGAUGAAAAUCAUAGGACCAAUCCCAACCACCCCACAGGCUUUCAUGCUGUCCCAGAGCAGGAUCCUCUAUGGGAUUACAAUACCCCUCGAGGCUUACAGUCUCGUGACCUUUUUGCAUCCUGCCUCUUGGCGGGCCUAAAAAAGGUCACCCACAAGGCCGUUAAUUUUCAAAAGGUGCAGGAGGUCAUUCAAAAGAAGGAAGAAACACCUUCAGAAUUCCUGGAUAGACUAACCAAGGCCCUCCAGCAGCACACAAACCUCGACCCAGAAAGCCCUGAUGGCCGUCAUGUCUUAAUGACAUAUUUCCUGGCCAAAAGCUACCCUGACAUUAAAGCCAAGCUUAAGAAGCUUGAACAGGGCCCUGCUACUCCUCAGACUGAAAUCCUCGCGGUCGCUUUCAAGGUGUUCCAUAGUAGAGAGGAUGAAAGCGAACGUCGUAGGCAGAGGGCUGAAAAUGCCAAAUUCCAAAUGUUGACCCAGGUCAUUCAGAGAAAGUCAUCACCAUGCCGUCCUAAUAAGACACCCCCUGGAGCUUGCCUCAAAUGUGGUAAGGAGGGACAUUGGGCCAGGGAUUGUCCUUCGCCGAGGAUAUCCUCCACCCCCUGCCCAAAAUGCCACCAAAGGGGACACUGGGGAGUAGACUGCCCAACAACCUGGAGGGGAGGUUGGUCAGCCACCCCACAACCCCAGCCUCUCCUGGGUUUGGCAGAGGAGGAUUGACAGAGCCCUGGGCCUCUCUCCCGACUAUUACCAUCAAGAAGCAAGAGCCUAGGGUCACAUUUCUAGUGGAUGGACGCUUCAUUACCUUCCUCUUAAGACACUGGUGCCACAUUUUCGGUCUUGAGGGAGUAUUGGGGUCCUACCACAUCCUCAAAAACUAUUGUCAAGGUAGGAGGUAAACAGAUUUUCCCUUGAAAAACACCCCCCUUAUCAUGUUAUAUGCAGGGAUCCCUUUUGUCCUUCACACACUCCUUUCUCGUUAUGAGCCACUGCCCCAUUCCCCUUCUGGGAAGGGACAUACUCUCAUUAUUGAAGGUCACCAUUCACAUAUCACCCCACACCUCCCCCGCCUCUCAUUUCCUGUGCCUGCCUUCUUGCGCAGGGCAAAUCCCUCACCAUUUAUACUGACUCAAAAUAUGUCUUCCAUAUUCUAUUAUCCCAUGCUGCAAUAUGGAAGGAGCGAGGCCUACUUACCACUAAAGGUAAUGCAAUCACUAAUUCGGCUCUUAUAACCAAUUUGAUAGAGGCCUCCCACUUACCCACCCAGUUGGGAGUUGUCCAUUGUAGGUCCCAUCAGAAGGACGGCUCUCUUAUCAUUGAGGGCAAUGCCAAAGCUGACCAGGCGGCACGAAUGGCUGCUAUCACUUCCAAUUAUGACCCCCCUGGGGGACAUAUAAUGGCCACUUUAGACUGUCCAUCUGAAGCCCCUACUUCUUCCAGUAAGAACAAGGAUCUUUUUGAGUUCCUCCAUACUCUAUUCCAUUCCAAUUCUCAGUCUUUUACCCUCUUUUUUACAGAGCUUCUUCUCCCUCACCCCCUCUGACAAAGCCAUUCUACAGAAUAUAGCCUCUAAUUGUCAGAUCUGUCAGUGGACCAACCCUCAUACUCCUUUAAGGCCUAAACCAUUUCCCUCCCACCAAGCCUGGGGACACAUUCCUGCUGCUGACUGGCAGGUAGACUUCACCAACAUGCCUGCAGUAUGGUGCACUAAAUACCUCCUUGUCUUUGUGGACACUUUCUCUGGUUGGGGAGGCAUUUCCCACUUCCAAAAAAAGGCUUUCACUGUAGCUUAAAUCUUACUGACAGACAUCAUCCCCAGGUUUGGUAUGCCCACUUCCCUACAAUCCGACAAUGGCCCUGAGUUUAUUUCUAGGAUCACACAAAAGGUCUCUCAAGCCCUCUCCUUCAAGUGGCAUUUCCACUGUCCAUAUAGCCCCCAGGCUUCAGGGAAAGUGGAAAGGGUAAAUCGGACUCUGAAGGAAGUCCUUACCAAAUUAACAAUGGAAUUAAACUUAGACUGUGUCAAACUCCUUCCCUUGGCUUUGCUUCGGAUCAGAGCUCUCCCUAAGAAACCAUCUUUACUGUCUCCCUUUGAGAUAAUGUAUGGAAGACCUCUUAUACCCCCUGGGUUGGUCAUUUCACAAGGACCUCUCACACGAGAUUUGUCUUUACCUCUCUUGUUUCAUCUCCGCUCAGAACUCUAGAAAUAUCGAGACUGGCUUCUUCCGGACCCAGACUCCUCUCCAAACACUCUUCCCUUAACACCUGGAAGUUUAGCCUAUUAUAACACCCCAGAGGAGAAAGGGCCUCUUGCCCCAAAAUGGGAAGGCCCAUAUCCUGUCAUUCUCUGUACCCCCACCGCCGCCAAACUUUCCUUACCAGGCAACCGUCUCACCCCCUGGAUUCACAUUUCUAGGUUGAAGCCAUAUUACUAGGAGGCCCCAUCUGCUGACGAAAAGACUACCCCAGAGGAGCCUCAAGAGUCACCUCCUAGACCUCCCCUUUACUCCUGCUCUCCACAUCCUAACUAUCCUCUAAAACUUCGCCUGUCUCGCAUAACCGCCCAUACUCCACCAUGACUCCCACUCUUCUAAGUGGUAUUUUCACAGUCAUCACCCUUCUCCCGGGGACAUCAUCAUCCUCCGCUUAUACUUGGAGAUUCAAAGUCAGAGAGACAUAUGUCCAAGGCAGCACUCGUUACACUCGCCUAGUUUCUUCGGUUGAUUGCGCCCCUAUGGGAUGUAAUGCAUCUAUCUUCCUUCCCCUCUCCUCCCAGAAUUCUGAACUUUUAAAAACAACCACUAGGCCUUACCUUUGCUUCUUAUAUGAUCAGACAGAGGAUUACUGCAAAUGGUGGCCCGAAACCUAUGGGGGGUGCCCCUACUGGUCAUGCAACGUUCAUAACCCACAUGCAUGCAUCGGGGAUUCCUGCGUUGGAAAUUUCAGAUUGAUCUCAAGGGGCUAUCAAUUGGCUAUCACUGACCCUAACCAUCCACGCUGGACCUCUAGGGUAAAUGCUUCCUUCUACUGUGACAUAUCCUCUCCCACCCCCUGUGGCUCCAUCUCCAUCUCCCGAGAGCUUCAACCCUCCCAGCCCUCAGUAGCUAUAAUCUCUACUGACAUAAAGCAUUCUGAACAGCAGUUGUUAGACUCUAUACAGGAUCCAUAUGAGCCUAAUGUCGGGAGUUCACCACAGUAUUCAUGACUACGACUACUUACUGAAACUGUAACCUUCUUAAAUCUAACCCUCCCCGCCAUUACACCAACUGAUUGCUACUUAUCCACCUCUCUGACUCGACCUUUGCUUGCAGCAGUUCCCUUGAACUUCUCAGCUUCUGACCUCUCAAAUUUCUCCACUCCAUCUGCCCACCAUUCUCUCCAAACCCUUUUACCCAACGCUCCAUUAUGGGAGCCUGAGGAAUCUAACCAUACUGUGAUUCCCCGGCGCUGCCUCCUGGGCUUGGGUGUCUCUCAGUCAAAGUUUUGCCACUCUAACAUCACCUUUAACUUCACCCUCUAUGCACCACCUGGCUCAUUCUUCUGGUGUAAUGGUUCUCUCAUCACUAUCGUAUUCACCAACACCUCUACCCCAUGUAUACUGGUGACGCUUGUCCCACUAUUGACUCUCUAUACCCCAGCUGAAGUGCAGGCCCUCUUGUCUCCCCCAGUGAGGAAUAAGCGGUCUGCUUUCCUUCCAAUACUGGUGGGUCUCUCACUGGCUGCAUCUGCGGUGGGAGCAGGAAUUUUUGGUGGAGCUCUAGGACACUCCUUAUGGGCUGUACAGGACUUAAGUUCUAAACUUGAACAAGCGCUCACUUCUACGGCAGAAUCUCUGGCAUCUUUACAAAGGCAGGUCACAUCCUUGGCUCAAGUUACUCUUCAAAAUCAACGAGCUAUAGACUUACUCACAGCCAAAAAAGGUGGAACCUGUCUUUUCUUGAGGGAAGAAUGCUGUUACUACAUCAAUGAAUCAGGCCUUGUGGAAACUAAUGUAGUCAAGCUCACCGACUUGGCUACCUCUUUGAAAAAUCCACCAAACCAAAUCCCAUUUGCCACCUUCUUUUUAGCCCACUUCCAAUCGUGGCUGUUGCCUCUUUUAGGGCCCAUAUGUCUCCUUUUCCUGAUGUGUCUGUUCCUGCCCUGUCUGCUUCACUUCCUACAGGGCCAAUUAUGGAAGAUGUCUAACCAAACUUUCAACCAGCUUCUGCUUUGGUACUAUCUGAUGACCGAUGAACCCCCAACAUCUUAAAGAGAACAGCUCACUCAUUGCUGAAGCUCACUACCAGGCGCGAUGGAAUGCAAUGGACAUCGGACAGUGGGAGACAAUGAGCCCGGAGAACCUCUUAAUCUGCCAUCCUGGAUUCUUGAGCCUUUAUGUCCUUUUAAGCCUCCUCAUGGCCCUUGGCCUCUUCUCUGUCAGUCCCCCAACAUGGAACUUCUGCCAAAAACUAACAUUUGCUUUAAUGUUUUAUCUUCAUCCUGUUUUUGUUUGCUCUGAUUUUCUUCAGGUGCAGGUGAUGUCAUGUCAAGGCAACGCUUCCAAUAUUUCCUAGAGUCUCUGCUACAGGAUCAGUGGCUGAUACCAACUAUCUCCUCCAUCCAGGACUGGUUCGAUGCCAUCGACGACUUGUGGUUUCAGGGAACUUUCAUAGACUUCACCCCUACGGAAGUAGCUGUCUAUAGCCACUGGGUUUUAUUUCUGGAUGCCAUGAUAUCCCCAGACCUGCCCCCAGAACAUUCCUCCACUUCCCAUUCUAGGCCCUACGCUGCCCCCGCACAGCCGGAAGCAGCCAGAUCUGACCAACGAUGCCCCAAUUCCUAAGAAAACAGAAAGGGAGGAAUGUUGGGAAAACACAUAAUGGCAGCAGCACCCCAGAGAAAAACCCCAACAUGACGCCUAAUGACCCUCUUUCUCCUCUUUUUCUUUCAUUGGCAUGAAACGUUCCCACCGGCGCCAAUGUUCAAAUCCUGCUUGUGGGAAGCCUUAGCCCCAAUAAGAAUUAACUUCUUGGGCUCCGGAACUGACAUAUGGAAGAGCUUGCCAAUAAACGGGCAACCCGUUAUCUACCUCAGCCCUGCUACCUCUCCUUAGACCUAUAUAAACACACAGCCUUUUGUAAUAAAGCGGAACCUCUUCGGU